CGGUAACGCGGGGCAACCUGGCGACGAGUGGCGAACGGGUGAGUAAUGCAUCGGAACGUGCCCAGUAGUGGGGGAUAGCCCGGCGAAAGCCGGAUUAAUACCGCAUACGACCUACGGGUGAAAGCGGGGGACUCGCAAGAGCCUCGCGCUAUUGGAGCGGCCGAUGUCAGAUUAGCUAGUUGGUGGGGUAAAAGCCUACCAAGGCGACGAUCUGUAGCUGGUCUGAGAGGACGACCAGCCACACUGGGACUGAGACACGGCCCAGACUCCUACGGGAGGCAGCAGUGGGGAAUUUUGGACAAUGGGCGCAAGCCUGAUCCAGCCAUGCCGCGUGCGGGAAGAAGGCCUUCGGGUUGUAAACCGCUUUUGUCAGGGAAGAAACGCUCUGGGCUAAUACCCUGGGGUAAUGACGGUACCUGGAGAAUAAGCACCGGCUAACUACGUGCCAGCAGCCGCUGUAAUACGUAGGGUGCAAGCGUUAAUCGGAAUUACUGGGCGUAAGCGUGCGCAGGCGGUUAUGCAAGACAGAUGUGAAAUCCCCGGGCUCAACCUGGGAACUGCAUUUGUGACUGUAUAGCUAGAGUACGGUAGAGGGGGAUGGAAUUCCGCGUGUAGCAGUGAAAUGCGUAGAUAUGCGGAGGAACACCGAUGGCGAAGGCAAUCCCCUGGACCUGUACUGACGCUCAUGCACGAAAGCGUGGGGAGCAAACAGGAUUAGAUACCCUGGUAGUCCACGCCCUAAACGAUGUCAACUGGUUGUUGGACGGCUUGCUGUUCAGUAACGAAGCUAACGCGUGAAGUUGACCGCCUGGGGAGUACGGCCGCAAGGUUGAGACUCAAAGGAAUUGACGGGGACCCGCACAAGCGGUGGAUGAUGUGGUUUAAUUCGAUGCAACGCGAAAAACCUUACCUACCCUUGACAUGUCAAGAAUCUUGCAGAGAUGUGAGAGUGCUCGAAAGAGAACUUGAACACAGGUGCUGCAUGGCCGUCGUCAGCUCGUGUCGUGAGAUGUUGGGUUAAGUCCCGCAACGAGCGCAACCCUUGUCAUUAGUUGCUACGAAAGGGCACUCUAAUGAGACUGCCGGUGACAAACCGGAGGAAGGUGGGGAUGACGUCAGGUCCUCAUGGCCCUUAUGGGUAGGGCUACACACGUCAUACAAUGGCCGGUACAGAGGGCUGCCAACCCGCGAGGGGGAGCUAAUCCCAGAAAACCGGUCGUAGUCCGGAUCGCAGUCUGCAACUCGACUGCGUGAAGUCGGAAUCGCUAGUAAUCGCGGAUCAGCUUGCCGCGGUGAAUACGUUCCCGGGUCUUGUACACACCGCCCGUCACACCAUGGGAGCGGGUUCUGCCAGAAGUAG
rnacentral:rRNA from 1 species